UGAAAAUGCUCACUGGGAUUGGAGUUGACUUGCCGACUCUGUUCUGUAUCCUUCCCACCACCUGAUCCCAGAGGGCAGAGCUUCCCACCUCAUGCCAGUGAUUACGGAGAUUUCUCCAGGAUGUUACCUGUAUGAGGUACACAGUGUGAGGACACGCUCCGUGCUUUUCCUACUUGGGUCCACGAUCUUGGAGGAGUGUCUCCUGUGGGUAUGGUAGCCUCUGGGGCCCUGAGCUGCUGACAGCGGAUGAGAGGUGGAGUGAGCCUGAGGGGCAGUCAUUGUCACACAGAGCCUGGAGAAAGCAUUUGGGAGGAGCUUCAGCUCUGGCAUCUCCUCUUAUCAGAGUUCCUCUGGGCCAGUAGGCGCACGUGUCACUUUCUUGCCUGGUCAGUCAGGCCUGCAUAGACACAUCCCCGGCCCCUUUCCUUUGGAGCUGUGGUGUAAGCCCAGGAUCAGUUCCCAUCCAUGGCCAACAGGGUCUUCCCCAACCACUGGCCCCAGCAGAAGGCCAUCCCUCUAAUCCCCUGCUCUUGGAAAACAUCGCAGAGGUGGAUGUGCUUUGCUGGGUCAGCAGUUCCAAUAACAGUACUGAGCCAUGAAGCCAAGGGCGAGCAGGAAAGAAAAGAGGAUGGAAGAAAGACAAAGAGGAAACAGUAUGCAAAGAGAAAAGAAAAUUGAGUGAGGGAAAAUGUGUAGAAAGAUGAAAGGAAAAUCAACACGCCUCGUGGGAUGAGUCCUGUGCUGGUGGCGGUGCCUCUCUCAUUGGGUGCUGUCACUCCCAGACUGGACUGUCUGUUUUGCACAAUGAAGAUCAGGCAGGAUGUGAGUGGCAUAGCAAGUGAGAGCCUGCUGACGUGGCGUGCUCUGGGGGAUCGAUGCCCAUGAAAGAGAAAUGUGACUACAUUAGAAGCUCUGCAGAGGCAGAUAUUCAGAGCGUGUUCAUUCACGUACCCCAAUGCCCAGGAACAGUGCCUGACACAUCCUAAGCACAUGAUAAAUAUCUGUUGAAUUAAAUCGAAUGUUAGGUGAAUGCCGAAGAAUGAAGUUGGACCUGCUGUUGUCCUUGCAUUCUCAUGGAUCUAAAGCCCGGCUUUUGCAAAUCAAAAGUGCUUUGCUUUUCAGACUAUUUAUUGCUUCUGCUAGAGAUAGACAAAGCCUACUUGAAAGCCGGGAAAUGAAGAACCUGAAGUUGGUGUGCACAGUGGGUAGAAAGUGAUCCUGCCACCCGAACCUUGGGGAGCAGUGGGCUCAGGCAGGUUUGUCACCAGCCAUCCUAGGGCCACCAUUCAUCUCAGCCUUCAUCAAUGUGUUCAUAAACGUGAACAGACUCAGUAAAUGUGACAAUCAUCUGAGCGGUGGUGUUCUGAGGAGGGGGAACGUUUUUCUGAAUUUGCGAAUGAGUCCAUGGGGGUCUUUGACAAUGGGUACAAGGAAGUAGACGAGACAGCAACUUUUAAUGCCGACUGACGUCCCACUAUAAUGAAGCAACAUGGUGGACACACAGGACUCCAGGGCUCCUUGGAGACAGCGAGGCUUCACGUCUGUGUGGCUGGAAGCUGAUCAGCCUUCACCAGAAAGGGGAGCCAUGAGGAGAUCCUGUUGAGGACACAUUGGUGGGACUUUAGGGGUGCGAUAUCCAGUAGGCAGCUGGCUUUGAGAACCUGGAGACUGCAGCGGGGUCAGUGCCACAUGCCCGUCCAGGGGCCCGCCAGGCCGGAGGUGAGACCGCGGGGGACAGAGGCACCUGGAAAGAAGUGCGGAGCAGAUGUGACCCGGGAAAGCCUGUGGCGGAGGCCACUCCACACAAGAACCAAAGAGCUUUGGAAAGGAAGCAUUGCAGUGGGCAUAUGUGCCUCUCUGAACUUGUGCAACGGGCUGGUGAUUCCUCAUUGUUCUGUGAUGUUGGUUUCAGUUUUGUAAUGAGUUUUCAUGAAAAUAAUGAGCAUAAUGAAAGCCCACAUCCCUCUCAAAGUAGCAGAAUGGAAAACAGAACUCUGAAGAACCAGCUCUCUUGACAUUCUGAGGCCCAGAUAUUUCUCUCGGGGUUGUAGAACAACCUCGAACCUGCGUGUCUCCCUGGCCCCACUGGACACCUGCCCCUGGACCUUCCUACCAUCUAGGGGGUGAUGCACUUGAGUGAAGAUUCUCCAUGCGGCACCGGGGAUUUCUGCCAUUGUGAACUUUUUAACAGGUGUUCUUGGGAUGAUGAUUUUUCGGGUGUACCCCCCACCGGCAGCAGUUGCGUUUCUGGGCUUGCGAUUCAAGGCAUGACUGAGCAGGUGGGAGAUGAUGCCAUGCAUCUUUUGGCAUGAGGUCUCUUUCAAGUAAACGAAGAGGCGUUUUCGGAAACACUGCAGAGAGAGAAAUGUGAGCACAUAUUUUUUUGCUCUGGCCACCAUGAUUCUUUUGCAUCUGGUCACCAUUUCCCUGCACUCCAUGGUACCCCCUUCCCCAAGCUCCCGGGCCCACUAAUUGUGAGAUCAACGAAAAGCAUUAGCUAUGGACUCAGCACGCCUCCUCCCCUGAGCACUCCCGACAGCCAGCAGAAAUCAAUAAAUUAGGAUAAAGAAAAUGA